CAAUCCCUGGUGGCUCAGAUAAGCUUUGAACAAUCAGCCAACAUAUAGUUCACUUAGCUAGGUUAAACCACUGAGCAAAAUUAUGUGUUCUGGGAAGAGAUUCAUCUAGCGCUCUGGCUGCUUAGGCAGUCUGCUGCCAGACCUAAGAAGUCAGUAACGACCUGGUCUCUAACCACACUGCAUUGCUGAAGUUUCUCAGGAGGCUGAAGUAUGACCCAAAACUCCAGUGUUUCAUGAAAUCUAGGCUAAUUUGAAACAAGGUGGAGCCAGCAACGUACAACCCAAAUCUUCUGCAGGCAGAAAGUGAUGCAUGAUCGACUGAGGGAACACAACUCAGCCUGGGAACCUUGGGAGCUGGGCCAACAGGGUUUCCUCCUCUUCCGUUUCUGCUUUCUACAUUUUUAUAACUCUCCAAGAACAGGUAUUACCAGAUUCCUGUAAAUUCCUGAGUUGAACAUGAAAAAGAGGAAGACUUCAGGUAUAUCAUGACUUAAUAGUCGUUGCAUUUAAAGGCAUUAGUUCCAUUAGGAAUAAUCCUCGGAUUGUGUUUACAUCUUCUUUGGAGGCUGCCAAGUAUUGGAAGAAGCAGUGCAUAUCAAAAACUUCCUAAGGGUUGUGAGCACAUGGAGAUGAUGCUGUAACUACUGGACAGCUCAGGAUAGUUGCUAACUGCUUGCAACUGCUGUUUGGUGCUAUGCUCACAGCAGGAACAAACGUCGGUACCUCCGACAAGUACUCAGUUUCCAUCCCUAAAGAAGAGUUGAGCUGCUGCAGUCUCCAAAGGAUUGUUUAAAUGAGAUAUGAUAAAGACAGCUUCCAGAGAAGUCAGAGAAAAGGUCUGUAGCCUUACAAAACAUUGGCAGGACACAAUGAUCUCUGUAUUUAGCCUAUAAUUUUAUUUACAUUCCCCUUGUCUUUGAAAAUACACUUCUAUUAAAGCUGUGAAG
rnacentral:lncRNA from 7 species